GGACGUUGGUGCUGAGCUUCAGUUUCAGGAAGUAUUCGUCAAAGGAGGAGACUUCCUCUGACUGCAGCUUCACGGUGAUGCCGCCAACAGCCUCCUGCUCAUAUCCUUCGACCACCUCCACACGGUCUUAGGAAACACCCAUAGUACGACUGGUGAUGAGUUGACAGUCCACAAAGAAGACGCGUGAGGUCCUGCAUAUGAAGAAAAUGAAAAUGACAGACCCUGUUACUGAACAAACCUGCCAAUUAGGAGAAACUCUCCAGCUACUCCAAGUCGUCUCA